GUCGGGUCAAGUUUCUAACACCAUCCUUUGACUGACGCUAAAGUUAGUAGCCAGUAAAGUUGGAGUAAUUUGAUUGAGUAGUCACUGAUCUCAAUUAAUGUGGCCUGAUUGAAAUUGAUUUGGAAAGAAAUAUUUUAGUCUUCCAAUACCAAACAUAAUUCACUUGGGUGGUUUCCAAAUUACAUGCAGUAAUCCUCUCUACAUGCC
rnacentral:lncRNA from 1 species